GUAGAUGGGUGACCCCUUCUUCCCAACCACUACAUGUGUGUGCUUCCUGAAGCUGUGCUCUUGGUCUCUCAGUAGAAUAGUAUGACCUUCCCUGACAGAGGAGGACCAUCCUUCUGUCGAAGGUAUAUGAGUAGCUGUGCUAGAAUCUCCAAACGAAUUUUCUUAGCAUCUUCUAAUGAUAAGAAAUGUAACUUUAAAAAAAUCAGUAUAAAGUCAUAGAUUUAAAUAUAU
rnacentral:sRNA from 1 species